rnacentral:rRNA from 1 species
AUGAACGCUGGCGGCGUGCUUCACCCCUGCCAGUCGCACGGAAAGGCUCCUGCUUGCAGGGGUACUCGAGUGGCGAACGGGUGAGUAACACGUGGGUGAUCUGCCCUGCACUUCGGGAUAAGCCUGGGAAACUGGGUCUAAUACCGGAUAGGACGAUGGUUUGGAUGCCAUUGUGGAAAGUUUUUUCGGUGUGGGAUGAGCUCGCGGCCUAUCAGCUUGUUGGUGGGGUAAUGGCCUACCAAGGCGUCGACGGGUAGCCGGCCUGAGAGGGUGUACGGCCAAAUGGGGACUGGGAGACGGCCCAGGCUCCUACGGGGGGGAGGGGGGGGGAAUAUUGCACAAGGGGCGCAAGCCGGAGGGAGGGACGCCGGGUGGGGGAAGGCGGCCUUGGGGUUGUAAACUCCUUUCGCUAGGGACGAAGCGCAAGUGACGGUACCGGGGAAAGAAGCACCGGCUAACUAGGU